rnacentral:rRNA from 1 species
GACAGAGGGUGCAAGCGUUGUUCGGAAUUACUGGGCGUAAAGCGCGUGUAGGCAGCGACUGCAAGUCGGGUGUGAAAGCCCUGGGCUCAACCUAGGAAGUGCACUCGAAACUGCAGGGCUUGAGUUCUGGAGAGGAAGGCGGAAUUCUCGGUGUAGAGGUGAAAUUCGUAGAUAUCGAGAGGAACAUCGGUGGCGAAGGCGGCCUUCUGGACAGUGACUGACGCUGAGACGCGAAAGCGUGGGGAGCAAACAGG